rnacentral:rRNA from 1 species
AUUGAACGCUGGCGGCAGGCUUAACACAUGCAAGUCGAGCGGUAACAGGAAACAGCUUGCUGUUUCGCUGACGAGUGGCGGACGGGUGAGUAAUGUCUGGGAAACUGCCUGAUGGAGGGGGAUAACUACUGGAAACGGUAGCUAAUACCGCAUAACGUCGCAAGACCAAAGAGGGGGACCUUCGGGCCUCUUGCCAUCGGAUGUGCCCAGAUGGGAUUAGCUAGUAGGUGGGGUAACGGCGCACCUAGGCGACGAUCCCUAGCUGGUCUGAGAGGAUGACCAGCCACACUGGAACUGAGACACGGUCCAGACUCCUACGGGAGGCAGCAGUGGGGAAUAUUGCACAAUGGGCGCAAGCCUGAUGCAGCCAUGCCGCGUGUAUGAAGAAGGCCUUCGGGUUGUAAAGUACUUUCAGCGGGGAGGAAGGGAGUAAAGUUAAUACCUUUGCUCAUUGACGUUACCCGCAGAAGAAGCACCGGCUAACUCCGUGCCAGCCGCCGCCGUAA